rnacentral:rRNA from 1 species
CCUACGGGAGGCAGCAGUGGGGGAUAUUGCACAAUGGGGGGAACCCUGAUGCAGCGACGCCGCGUGGGUGAAGAAGCGCCUCGGCGCGUAAAGCCCUGUCAGCAGGGAAGAAAAUGACGGUAGCUGAAGAAGAAGCCCCGGCUAACUACGUGCCAGCCGCCGCGGUCAUACGUAGGGGGCAAGCGUUAUCCGGAUGUACUGGGUGUAACGGGGGCGCAGACGGCGAUGCAAGCCAGGAGUGAAAGCCCGGGGCCCACCCCCGGGCCUGGUGGUGGAACUGCGUGGCUGGAGUGCAGGAGGGGCAGGGGGAAUUCCUGGUGUAGCGGUGAAAUGCGUAGAUAUCAGGAGGAACACCGGUGGCGAAGGCGGCCUGCUGGACUGCAACUGACGUUGAGGCCCGAAAGCGUGGGGAGCAAACAGGAUUAGAUACCCUAGUAGUC